rnacentral:lncRNA from 1 species
GCUAUGAGAGUUCCUGAUAUAGGUAAAUCCUGAAAAGUGCUUCAGAUGCAUGGUAAUUUAAAACGUGUUGUUUUCCUUUUUUUCAGGACAAACCAAUGUUUGUAAUAUAUAAUAUACAAAAAUAUUAAAGGUGAAAAUUACUGAUGCGAAUUUUGGCAAUGUCUCUUUAGCGAUGCCCGAGACCAAUAACUGUUUAAAAGUCCACAACUUAAUG